rnacentral:tRNA from 1 species
GCGGCAGUAGUUCAGUGGUAGAAUGUCUCCUUCCCAAGGAGAAGGUCGCCGGUUCAAAUCCGGUCUGCCGCUCAA